rnacentral:rRNA from 1 species
UUUAUGGAGAGUUUGAUCCUGGCUCAGGAUGAACGCUGGCGGCGUGCCUAAUACAUGCAAGUCGAGCGAACGGACGAGAAGCUUGCUUCUCUGAUGUUAGCGGCGGACGGGUGAGUAACACGUGGAUAACCUACCUAUAAGACUGGGAUAACUUCGGGAAACCGGAGCUAAUACCGGAUAAUAUUUUGAACCGCAUGGUUCAAAAGUGAAAGACGGUCUUGCUGUCACUUAUAGAUGGAUCCGCGCUGCAUUAGCUAGUUGGUAAGGUAACGGCUUACCAAGGCAACGAUGCAUAGCCGACCUGAGAGGGUGAUCGGCCACAC